UUCUUCUUCUUCUUCUUCUUCUUCUUCUUCUUCUUCUUCUUCUACCUCCUCCUCCUCCUCCUCCUGUUCGUGCUGAUGCAAAGAUAGCCCAUCGAUUUUGUUGUUGUUGUUGUUGUUAUUGUUGUUCCCAUUUCUUCCUCCUUACUCCUCUAAAGAUGGUGAUGAUAAUGAUGAUGAUGAAGGUGAUGGUGGUGGUGGUGGUGAUAGUGGUGUACCCAAGGACGAAGAGGGUGAUGACUGUGGUGAUGAGGACGGCAUGUGUCGGCAGUAUCUAUCAUGUGGUGGUGAUGAUGGUGAUGAAGGUGUUGCUGUAUGAUGAGGAGUGGUGUUGAGAAAGAGGGGAGGUGUUGAUGGUGGUGAUGGUGGUGGUGUGAUUGUGAGAAUUAGGCGAAGGCGAAAGAAGAGGAGGAGGAGGAGGAAGAUAUGAGAGAUAAAGAUGGAACAAAAGAGAAGGAGGAAGAUAAGGAAGAAGAAAGUAAUGAAAAAGUUAAGAAAGAAAAAAGGAGGAGGAGGAAGAUGCUUAGAAAAUGAAGAAGAAAAAGGAGGUGAAGGAAGAGGAAGAUAGGGGCGAAGAAGAAGGAAGAGGAGGAGGAGGAGGAGGAAGAUAAGAGAGAUAAAGAUGGAAAAAAAAGAGCAGAAGAAGGAAGACAAGGAAAGGAAAAGAAGAAGGAAGAAGAAGGUGAUGAAAAAGUUAAGAAAAAUAAAAAAAAGGAAAAAGGAGGAGAAGGAAGAGGAAGAUAGGGAGGAUAAAGAAGAAAAAAAGAGAAAGAGGAGGAGUUUGAUAAUAAUGAUAAUAGUAUUGAUGGAGAAAGAUUGUAGUAGUAGUAGUAGUAGUAGUAGUAGUAGCAGUAGUAGUAGUAGUAGUAGUAGUAGUAAAUGUUGUUAUGUAGUAAACGUGUGUCUAUAUCCUUGUGUGUGUGCGUAUGUGCGCUACCUGAUGACUACUGAGUAUGUGUGUACGUGUGUGUGUGUGUGUGUGUGUCAGGGGAACGGUUUCAUAACAGCUGAUUUAUAUUCCUUUACCGGUGUUUGUGUGUAUGUAUGUAUGUAUGUUUGUGUGUGUGCGUGUGUGUGUAUCUGUUAAUAUUACUUACAAAGGUUACAUGAGGUUAUUUGAUCUUCCUCCUCCUCCUCCUCCUCCUCCCUUUCUCCUCCUUUCCCUUCUCAUACCUUACCUUUUCCUUCCAUUCUCCCUUCUUUUCCCUUCCUUUCCCUUGCUUUCAUCCCCUCCCUCUCUCCCUUCCCCUCCCCUCCACCUCUCUCUUUCUGCCUCUCAAUUCCUCUCCCUCCCUCCCUUCCCUUUCCCUCCCCUCCCCAGGUAUCCAGGUAACAACAGAAUACCUGGACCUUAUUGGACAUUGCUCAGGUGUAAUAACCGUAGCGAGGAACGGGGGGGGAAGAGAGGAGAGAGGAGGGGGGUGGAAGGGAAGAGGAAAGUUGGGGAAAGGUAAAAUGAGGAUGGAGCAAGCUUGGGAUGAAUUGGGGUGUGGAGGAAGGGAGGGGAAGGAAGGGGAGGGGGGAAGGUGGAUGAUGGGUCAGUGAGAAGUGGAUGAGGAUGUAAAGAGGGAGAGAAUGCCGAUGAUGAUGUAGUGGAUGAAAAAGGAAAUGAAUGACAGUGGAAGUGGAUGAGAUUUGAGGUGGAUAAAAUUAUAGUGGAUGAAGUUAUAGUAGUUAAAAUAAGGUGGAUGACGUUUUAGUGGAUGAGAGUCAAAGUACACGAAAACAAAGUGGAUGAAGUUACAGUAUUUAAGACAAAGUGGAUGACGUUUUAGUGGAUGAGAGUCGAAGUGCAGGAAAACAAAGUGGAUGAAGUUAUAGUAGUUAAGAUAAAGUGGAUGACGUUUUAGUGGAUGAAAGUCGAAGUGCAUGAAAACAAAGUGGAUGACAGUCAAUGAAAGUGAAUUUGACAACACUGGAUGAGGAGGUGAGGAGUAACAGGUGUAGGUCAUAUCCAGGUGGACUGAACAAGGUGGAUGAGUGGGCAAGUGGAUGGAUGAGCACUAUGAACGUAGAAUAAAGUUGGAUGAACCUAAAGCGAGGUGAGGGUUGAAAGUGGAUUGGGCGGGGUGGGUGACACAGCCCACUCAGGUAAUCAGAUAGUUAAUCACCUGGGAAUCUGUGUGGACCGCCCAUCACACACACACACACACACACACACACACACACACACACACACACACACACACACACAGGUAUUUACGCCUAGUUUCUGCU